rnacentral:piRNA from 1 species
UCCAAAGGAAAAUUGUGGUGACAUUC